rnacentral:rRNA from 1 species
UUGUAAGUGUUUAAGAGCGUUCGGUGGAUGCCUUGGCACCAGGAGCCGAUGAAGGACGUAGGAGGCUGCGAUAAGCCUCGGGGAGCUGUCAACCGAGCUGAGAUCCGAGGAUUUCCGAAUGGGGAAACCCAGCACGAGUGAUGUCGUGUUACCCGCGCCUGAAUAUAUAGGGUGUGUGGAGGGAACGUGGGGAAGUGAAACAUCUCAGUACCCACAGGAAGAGAAAACAAGAGUGAUUCCGUGAGUAGUGGCGAGCGAAAGCGGAUGAGGCUAAACCAUGUAGAUGUGAUAGCCGGCAGGCGUUGUCUAUGUGGGGUUGUGGGGUUGCUCUUCCCGGUUCUGCCGAGCUGGGCGUGAGUCAGAAACCGUUGUGUUAGCUGAAGUGGUCUGGGACGGCCUACCGUAGACGGUGAGAGUCCGGUAAGUGAAAACAUGACGGCUCAUGUGAGUGAUACCCGAGUAGCAGCGGGCCCGUGAAAUCUGCUGUGAAUCUGCCGGGACCACCCGGUAAGCCUGAAUACUCCCUGGUGACCGAUAGCGGACUAGUACCGUGAGGGAAAGGUGAAAAGUACCCCGGGAGGGGAGUGAAAUAGUACCUGAAACCGUGCGCUUACAAUCCGUCAGAGCCUGCGCCCAGUUUUCUGGGGUGGGUGAUGGCGUGCCUUUUGAAGAAUGAGCCUGCGAGUUAGUGGCAUGUGGCGAGGUUAACCCGUGUGGGGUAGCCGUAGCGAAAGCGAGUCCGAAUAGGGCGUUGAGUCGCGUGUUCUAGACCCGAAGCGGAGUGAUCUACCCAUGGCCAGGGUGAAGCGACGGUAAGACGUCGUGGAGGCCCGAACCCACUUAGGUUGAAAACUGAGGGGAUGAGCUGUGGGUAGGGGUGAAAGGCCAAUCAAACUCCGUGAUAGCUGGUUCUCCCCGAAAUGCAUUUAGGUGCAGCGUCACGUGUUUCACGCCGGAGGUAGAGCUACUGGAUGGCCUAGGGGGCCUACAAGCUUACCGAAGUCAGCCAAACUCCGAAUGCCGGUGUGUGAGAGCGUGGCAGUGAGACUGCGGGGGAUAAGCUUCGUAGUCGAGAGGGAAACAGCCCAGAUCGCCGGCUAAGGCCCCUAAGCGUGUACUAAGUGGAAAAGGAUGUGGGGUCGCGAAGACAACCAGGAGGUUGGCUUAGAAGCAGCCACCCUUGAAAGAGUGCGUAAUAGCUCACUGGUCAAGUGAUCCUGCGCCGACAAUGUAGCGGGGCUCAAGUACACCGCCGAAGCCGCGGCACUCCAACAUGACAUCCGCAUCGGGUUACGGUCCGGUGCGCAGUGGUUGGGGUGGGUAGGGGAGCGUCGUGCAGCCAGGGAAGCAGCAGUGUGAACUAGUUGUGGAGGCUGUGCGAGUGAGAAUGCAGGCAUGAGUAGCGAAAGACGAGUGAGAAACUCGUCCGCCGAAUGACCAAGGGUUCCUGGGCCAGGUUAAUCCGCCCAGGGUGAGUCGGGACCUAAGGCGAGGCCGACAGGCGUAGUCGAUGGACAACGGGUUGAUAUUCCCGUACCCGUGUAUCCGCGCCCAAUGGCGAAUCAUCUGUGCUAACCGUCCUGAACCUGAGCGAUCUCCUUCGGGAGACGUGAGGGGGAUGCACGGGACCCUGGGUGUAGUAGUCAAGCGAUGGGGUGACGCAGGAAGGUAGCUGGGCCAGUGAGUGGUUGUACUGGUGUAAGCCUGUAGGGCGUUGUGUAGGCAAAUCCGCACAACAU